AACAAAAUUUGUUCUGGGUAUAAGCUUUCAUGUGUAUGCACACUUCUUCAGAGAGUACUUCUUCUUUCUGAAGAAGUUUGCAUGCACACAAAAGCUUAUACCCAGAACAAACUUAAUUGG